rnacentral:rRNA from 1 species
GACGAACGCUGGCGGCGUGCUUAACACAUGCAAGUCGAACGGAAAGGCCCUGCUUUUGUGGGGUGCUCGAGUGGCGAACGGGUGAGUAACACGUGAGUAACCUGCCCUUGACUUUGGGAUAACUUCAGGAAACUGGGGCUAAUACCGGAUAGGAGCUCCUGCUGCAUGGUGGGGGUUGGAAAGUUUCGGCGGUUGGGGAUGGACUCGCGGCUUAUCAGCUUGUUGGUAGGGUAGUGGCUUACCAAGGUUUUGACGGGUAGCCGGCCUGAGAGGGUGACCGGCCACAUUGGGACUGAGAUACGGCCCAGACUCCUACGGGAGGCAGCAGUGGGGAAUAUUGCACAAUGGGCGGAAGCCUGAUGCAGCAACGCCGCGUGCGGGAUGACGGCCUUCGGGUUGUAAACCGCUUUCGCCUGUGACGAAGCGUGAGUGACGGUAAUGGGUAAAGAAGCACCGGCUAACUACGUG